rnacentral:rRNA from 1 species
CGGACGGGUGAGUAAUGUCUGGGAAACUGUCCGAUGGAGGGGGAUAACUACUGGAAACGGUAGCUAAUACCGCAUAACGUCGCAAGACCAAAGAGGGGGACCUUAGGGCCUCUUGCCAUCGGAUGUGCCCAGAUGGGAUUAGCUAGUAGGUGGGGUAACGGCUCACCUAGGCGACGAUCCCUAGCUGGUCUGAGAGGAUGACCAGCCACACUGGAACUGAGACACGGUCCAG